CGACGGGGGCGGUACAUGCGAGGGAGUAGUUUACUAUGACCAGACAAGUGCCAUCCUAGUGGCGGACGGGUGAGUAACGCGUGGGCAACCUGCCCUGUACAGGGGGAUAACACUUAGAAAUAGGUGCUAAUACCGCAUGAGCGCACAAAGGCGCAUGCCUAUGUGCGGGAAGCCCGCGAGGGCGGUACGGGAUGGGCCCGCGUCUGAUUAGCCAGUUGGCAGGGUAACGGCCUACCAAAGCGACGAUCAGUAGCCGGCCUGAGAGGGUGGACGGCCACAUUGGGACUGAGACACGGCCCAAACUCCUACGGGA
rnacentral:rRNA from 1 species